rnacentral:rRNA from 1 species
GAUGAACGCUGGCGGCGUGCCUAAUACAUGCAAGUCGAGCGAACAGACGAGGAGCUUGCUCCUCUGACGUUAGCGGCGGACGGGUGAGUAACACGUGGAUAACCUACCUAUAAGACUGGGAUAACUUCGGGAAACCGGAGCUAAUACCGGAUAAUAUAUUGAACCGCAUGGUUCAAUAGUGAAAGACGGUUUUGCUGUCACUUAUAGAUGGAUCCGCGCCGCAUUAGCUAGUUGGUAAGGUAACGGCUUACCAAGGCGACGAUGCGUAGCCGACCUGAGAGGGUGAUCGGCCAGACUGGAACUGAGACACGGUCCAGACUCCUACGGGAGGCAGCAGUAGGGAAUCUUCCGCAAUGGGCGAAAGCCUGACGGAGCAACGCCGCGUGAGUGAUGAAGGUCUUCGGAUCGUAAAACUCUGUUAUUAGGGAAGAACAAAUGUGUAAGUAACUAUGCACGUCUUGACGGUACCUAAUCAGAAAGCCACGGCUAACUACGUG